CGCAUCUGUGCAUGCAGCAUAUCAAUAGCGGAGGAAAAGAAACUAACAAGGAUUCCCCUAGUAACGGCGAGUGAAGCGGGAAGAGCUCAAAUUUGAAAUCUUAAAGGGUUUCCCUUUACGAAUUGUAGUUUAAAGAAGUGUUUUCUGUUGAGGUUUUGGUAAAAGUUCUUUGGAAUAGGACAUCAUAGAGGGUGAGAAUCCCGUAUUUGACCUUUACUUUCAACUUUGUGAUACACUUUCAAAGAGUCGGAUUGUUUGGGAAUGCAGUCCAAAAUGGGUGGUAAAUUUCAUCUAAAGCUAAAUAUUGGCGAGAGACCGAUAGCGAACAAGUACCGUGAGGGAAAGAUGAAAAGAACUUUGAAAAGAGAGUUAAACAGUACGUGAAAUUGUCAAAAGGGAAGCGUUUGACACCAGUGUUGUUUUUCUGAAAAUCAAUUAAAGAACUGUUUAUGCUAAGCUGUUUAGACUUUAUCAGCUAACUGUUUAGUUUUGAGCUUUUCUUUAAUGCACUUUUCAGUUAACAAGUCAACAUCAAUUUCUUUUGCUGUAAAAAAGCUUGAGGAAGGUGGCUUGAGAUUCGUCUUAAGUGUUUAUAGCCUCUUGCCUAUGCAGUCGGAGAGAUUGAGGUCUGCAGCGUAGAUCCUUCGGGGCUAAAUGCAUUUGUGCCUAGUUAUAGCAUUUCAUAGACAACUUGUUGACUAUGAUUUGUCUCUGUAGCUUACUCGCUUAUGUUAUUUUACCUACGCUUAGGAUGUUGACAGCAGUAUAGACUGU
rnacentral:rRNA from 1 species